rnacentral:misc_RNA from 1 species
CCGAGUUUACAACUCCCAAACCCCUGUGAACAUACCACUUGUUGCCUCGGCGGAUCAGCCCGCUCCCGGUAAAACGGGACGGCCCGCCAGAGGACCCCUAAACUCUGUUUCUAUAUGUAACUUCUGAGUAAAAUCAUAAAUAAAUCA